rnacentral:lncRNA from 1 species
UAUGUCCACUCAAGUAAAACACCACACAAAAAUAGUGUUUCUAUGAUAUUGAGGGCAUUGUAUUCGCACGAGAUGGUAUUAGAGUACAACUAGUGGAUGAAGACAUUAGUGGGCCAGCUAAUGACCUUUUGUGAUAAUAUGUUAACUAUAAUCCCGUCUAUUCAUGGCAUCCUUAGAUUGUGUUUAUGUCCACUCAAGUAAAACACCACACAUCAAUAUACCACAUCGUUUCUCAAAAUAAAAUAAAGACUAUGGAAAAUUUAGCCAAAUUGCGUGAGUGAACUGUCCAACAUAGGUUAAGGUUGUAAGACAACUUUUUCCACCAUAUAGUUGCUAAAAAGUUGGAAUAUAAAGAAUUCAAAACAAUAGAUCACCUUUUAAACCUCAAAUGACGUUUCUAUGAUAUUGUGGGCAUUGUAUUCACACUAGAGGGUAUUAGAGUACAACUAGUGGAUGAAGACGUUAUUGGGCUAGCUAAUGACCUUUUGUGAUACCUGGUUUCCAAUAAUCCUGUCUAUUCAUGGCAUCCUUAGAUGGUGUUUAUGUCCACUCAAGUAAAACACCACACAAAAAUAGUGUUUCUAUGAUAUUGAGGGCAUUGUAUUCGCACGAGAGGGUAUUAGAGUACAACUAGUGGAUGAAGACGUUAUUGGGCUAGCUAAUGACCUUUUGUGAUAACAGGUUUCCACCAUAUAGUUGCUAAAAAGUUGGAAUAUAAAGAAUUCAAAACAAUAGAUCACCUUUUAAACCUCAAAUGACGUUUCUAUGAUAUUGUGGGCAUUGUAUUCACACUAGAGGGUAUUAGAGUAUAACUAGUGGAUGAAGACGUUAUUGGGCUAGCUAAUGACCUUUUGUGAUACCAGGUUUCCAAUAAUCCCCUCUAUUCAAGGCAUACCUAAAUGGUGUUUAUGUCCACUCAAGUAAAACAUCGCACAUCAUUAUACCACAUCGUUUCUCAAAAUAAAAUAAAGACCAUGGGAAAUUUAGCCAAAUUGCACGAGAGAACUGUCCAAACAUAGGUUAAGGUUGUAAGACACCUUUUUCCACCAUACAGUUGCUAAAAAGUUGGAAUAUAAAGAAUUCAAAACAAUAGAUCACCUUUUAAACCUCAAAUGACGUUUCUAUGAUAUUGUGGGCAUUGUAUUCACACUAGAGGGUAUUAGAGAACAACUAGUGGAUGAAGACGUUAUGGGCUAGCUAAUGACCUUUUGUGAUACCUGGUUUCCAAUAAUCCCGUCUAUUCAUGGCAUCCUUAGAUGGUGUUUAUGUCCACUCAAGUAAAACACCACACAAAAAUAGUGUUUCUAUGAUAUUGAGGGCAUUGUAUUCGCACGAGAGGGUAUUAGAGUACAACUAGUGGAUGAAGACAUUAGUGGGCUAGCUAAUGACCAUUUGUGAUAAUAUGUUAACUAUAAUCCGUCUAUUCAUGGCAUCCUUAGAUUGUGUCUAUGUCCACUCAAGUAAAACACCACACAUCAAUAUACCACAUCGUUUCUCAAAAUAAAAUAAAGACUAUGGAAAAUUUAGCCAAAUUGCGUGAGUGAACUGUCCAAACAUAGGUUAAGGUUGUAAGACAAAUUUUUUCCACCAUACAGUUGCUAAAAAGUUGGAAUAUAAAGAAUUCAAAACAAUAGAUCACCUUUUAAACCUCAAAUGACGUUUCUAUGAUAUUGUGGGCAUUGUAUUCACACUAGAGGGUAUUAGAGUACAACUAGUGGAUGAAGACGUUAUUGGGCUAGCUAAUGCCUUUUGUGAUACCUGGUUUCCAAUAAUCCCGUCUAUUCAUGGCAUCCUUAGAUGGUGUUUAUGUCCACUCAAGUAAAACACCACACAAAAAUAGUGUUUCUAUGAUAUUGAGGGCAUUGUAUUCGCACGAGAGGGUAUUAGAGUACAACUAGUGGAUGAAGACGUGAUUGGGCUAGCUAUUGACCUUUUGUGAUAACAGGUUUCCACCAUACAGUUGCUAAAAAGUUGGAAUAUAAAGAAUUCAAAACAAUAGAUCACCUUUUAAACCUCAAAUGACGUUUCUAUGAUAUUGUGGGCAUUGUAUUCACACUAGAGGGUAUUAGAGUACAACUAGUGGAUGAAGACGUUAUUGGGCUAGCUAAUGACCUUUUGUGAUACCUGGUUUCCAAUAAUCCCGUCUAUUGAUGGCAUCCUUAGAUGGUGUUUAUGUCCACUCAAGUAAAACACCACACAAAAAUAGUGUUUCUAUGAUAUUGAGGGCAUUGUAUUCGCACGAGAGGGUAUUAGAGUACAACUAGUGGAUGAAGACGUUAUUGGGCUAGCUAAUUGUCACACCCGGGUUUUAGGGGUCCAAAGCCCGGGCGCGAACAUAAUCACCAGGUGUGCUGGGACCAAGUCUCACACAUAUGAUGAAUCAUGGCACAGGAUCGAAUGUCACAUCUUUACUAUAUAAUAAGAGUUCUAUACAAAAUAAAUAAUUACAUUAUAAGGAGACAACGGUCCAGCAACCCAAAGUUGACUGGGAGACGACGGCCUAGACCACUCACGAACUCAUCACAGCAUCCUCCAAGCGCCUCAUCCUGCGGUACCUGUUCUUGACCUGUGGGGGUGUGAGACAGCAAGAGUGAGCUCACAUACGUUCAUCGCUCAGCAAGUUGUGGGGAAUAAUGUGUAUGAACUCGCCAAAGGUGGGAGCUCAUGUGAAGUGUAAGGCUUACCAAAGAGGAUGGCUGAAGCUGAGCAUUGCUUUUAAAGUUGGUCAAAAUUUUAUUAGCCAUUACUAAGUAUAAGUAAAUACCCACCCAAUUAAAUAGUAGAACAGAAGUAACAACAUCACCUGCGAUGCAAUGCAUAUGACAAAUUGAAUUUAAGUUCCAUAGAUUAAUCAUGUGAGGGUCCGAGCUGCUCAUGACCGUGAGCACGGCUAGUAUACCAGUUUUACACUCUGCAGAGGUGGCGCAUCUUUACCCACAAGUCAUGUUACCCAUCUGCCAAGGGAUCGCGACUUCCCGUACACCUCUACCGAGGAGGCGAGGCAGGGUAACACUACGAGGCCUUUACAAAGUUCCACUAGCUUCAGAAAACCCGCUACAGUUUAUAGGAAGCUCCAAUGCAGGAAUCCCUUGCAGGACCGCCAUCACAGCAAAAUCCUCCCGAGGGCCUCCCCAGGAAUCCCUUGCAGGACCGCCAUCACAGCAAAAUCCUCUCGAGGGCCUCCCUAGGAAUCCCUUGCAGGACCGCCAUCACAGCAAAAUCCUCCCGAGGGCCUCCCUACACUGACCACUCCCCUACUGCCCUUGCCCCUUUCGGGUAAGGUAGUCCUCCACUAGCUUUCCUAAUUAAUCAGCCAAGGGCGUCCCAUUAUACCCUUGUGGUAGCACUGUUUUCCCGGGUGGUCGCUCCAUGUUCCAAUUAACAUAAUGAUCUUAUCAUGAACGAUAAAUAACAACGGAUAACAAAAGUAUAAUCAUGAGUAAUGUAUCUUCAUACCUAAAACCACAUAAAGCACUAGCAAGUACUACCCAAAAAGUUCAGUGGUAACAAGGUAUAAAGAUAAUCAAACUAGGGUAACCUAUUGGGUCCCAUCAAAAUUAACCUAUGCAGAUCAUUAUGAUUAAUUAGAACAUGGCUGGGUAAAAAGAAGUGAUCAAGGGCACAACUUGCCUGAGACUUGAGAUUCCAGGUACCAGGAUGAUCUUCAGGUGACUCGUGUCCUCACGCUAGUCGUAGCAUUACAAACAAACAGUGUAUAGGCAAAAUUAACAUUACACCAAACAUAUAUGCAAAUUACAUAUUAAUAAUCUACAUGAUGAAAUAUGAUCACAGGAACAAGAAUUAUUAAUUUUGGAGUUAUAGGUUUUAAGUUAUGAAUUUCCAAAGAUUAUAUGUGCUUAUUACAAGAUUAGUUAAGAUAACAAUUUUAAUGUGACUUUUAUGUAAAACCAGUGGCACUAAAUGAUAAACAAUAAUAUUACAAAAUUAUAGGAACUGGAAUAGACUAAAAAGGAGUUAGUAUGAAUUUACUAUGAAUUAAACAAGUUUUAACAUUUAUUUAUGCACUAAAAAUUAAUUUCUGAUAUUAAUUUCUGAUUUUCAAAGUUCUCUGGAUCGGGCCUCAAUUACAAGCAACUCCAGGGGGUCUCGGGUAAGAAUUCUACAGACUCAGGCUACUAUUCACUGGAUUGCGGGUUGAUUAGUGAAUUCCUCGAGGACUCUUUAGCAAAACUACCAGCGCGAAAGGGGUACGCGUUAAACCUGGCCGUUGGAUCACGCGUAGACGGUGCCGAUUAGAUCAUUCCACCGAGCGAAACGGUACUCAAUCCGCACCGCACGAUAGAACAUCUACGUCUCAGAUUUAAAUAUCCCGUAUUGAUUUGCUACCGACCGAUCAGGAUCGGACGGUCAUGGGUGAAUAUGGCCGAAUCAGUAUCAGGAUCUAAUCCUACCCGCUCAUCUAGAUCGGACGGUCAGGAGUCGUCCGCCCCCCCUCCUCUAACGCGACGGCGGCGCCGCCCACAAUCCGCGGCGAACCUCGCCAGCGAGAUCCAAAUCCAGUGCUCCAAUGCCCUAAACUCUAUUCCGACAGGUGCUACGUGUAAAGGAGAUCAAGGCGAACUCGGAGGAGGACUUCAUACCAGGAAUCAGGUCGGGGAGUACACCCGUCCACGGCACAGUGCGGUACGCGGCGAUGAAGGAGCUCCGGCGAGGAAUUCAGUGCACCCGAGACGACCCCGAUCGCUGGCGAUCCCCGUGUAAGCUCCCAAGGUCCCUUGGUGACGACACACGGGCACCCACUGAGGCUAAGUCGGCGGCGAAUCGAAGUUGGCCCGCGGCGGCGCUCCGUCCUAUCGACGAUGGUGAGCUGCGAGAGGGUGUGGCGGCGGCGCACGCGAAAUUGAGGAGGAGGGAGGAGAGAGGCUGUGGCCGGCUUCUUAUGGAGGCGCAGAACGGCAGAUAGCCAGCUGAGGCCGGGAGAUCCGAGGGGAGGUGGUUCCGGUCACGGCGGCGAAGUCCUCGCGGUUCGGUUGAAGAUGCCUGACGACCGAACCCCACGCGACAGUCAGUCAAGCCACGCGCGAGGAGGUCUGGUGCGCGGGCCCGCAGAGUCAGCGAGACACGGGAGAGCAACGCGCGCCAGAGGCUGAUCCAGGGACCCCACCUGUCGGCACGCGGUAAGAGGACAGUUGGGCCGCGCGGGAGAGAAAGGCUAGGUGGGCCGAAUUCCAGGUUGGCGGCCCGAUUAGGGUUUUAGUCUUUUUCCAUUUUCUUUUAUUUUUCUUUUAUUUUCUCCUUUCUCCAUUCUUUCACAAAUUCAAAUUUAAAAUACCAAUUCAAUUCAAACUUGUAACUGGUUCAUUUUGGUGCAAUUAAAAGUAUUUGGUUUGAGAAUAUUUAUUCAAAUAUAUUACUCAUGUUUUCAUAUUACUUCUCUUUUCUUCCCUUCCCAUUUAUUUUCUAUUUCCUAUUCCAAAUUCAAAUUUAUACUUCUAUUUUAGUUUUCAGAUUUUUCAAAUGUAUCAAUUGAAACCCAAAGGUGAAUAUAAACCAUACUAUUUUAAUAUUACUAAUUUAAGUUUUAUUCUCCUUGUUAUUUAUUUCAUGGGAUGUAUAAAUGGUUUCCUUUAAAAGAAAAAAAAUCCUUUUCUCAUCAUUUUCUUAUUUUCCUAAUUUCCAAAGCAUUAUGAUACUUUGUUUAUAUUAUUUUUUUUUCCUACUAAUUUUGGGUCUUACAAAUCCUACCCCCCUUAACAAAAAUCUCGUCCUCGAGAUUUGCAAGAAAGGGGAUACAAGUCUAUCUUGUUAGUCUAGAUUUCAUUUUCUAAUUAGUUCUAGUACGAAAAGAUUUUUUUUUAUAGUCUAUAUCAAAUUAUCAGGUGAUUAGGAAGGCAUAUGUAUGGCCACCUUAUUAUGUAGGAUAAGAGAUGUCCUAGAAGUAUGAGUAGGUGUUGGUAAGAAAGAGUAGGGUAAGGGAAAGGCUCCGUCCCAGAUUGUGGAUCUUGAUUCCGCUGGCGAUUCAACUUGAUCUUUGAAGACUUCAGUUGGUGCUUAUCCUUUCUUGAUGUCGUUGAUCCUUUUCUUCUCCAGUCUUGGUCUUUGGUGUCUCCAUCCGGGUUUGGGACAAGAGGCUAAGAUACAUCUGUUAUGUAGGUCAAGUUGUUGGGUGUGGCCGAGUUGAUCUAGGUCACUAGUUUAAGUUUAAGUGGAUUUGGAGUUUGACUUUAUCCUUUGUACCAGCAUUAAGUAACUUACUCUAGAUUAGAUCAUAAUAGAUUAGAUAGAAUCUAGAUUAGAUCAAUAUAAUUAGGUUAGACUAGAUAAUAUCUAAUUACUUUGGAUUAGAUCAUGGUUGUUACACCAGGAUGAGAUAAGCAAAGUGGUUAGGAUAAGAUAAGAUAAAAUCUUUUAAGAUGAGAUGAAUCUAUUAAGGUAAGACAAUAUCUUUUAAGAUAAGAUGGAUCUUAUGAAGCUAGAUAUAUUUUAAUGGGGGAUAUUCUUAGUUGAUCUAGUUAUAUUAUGAUUUCUUUAUGCUUUUAUGUAUAUGCAGAUGCAAUUGUGGACAUUACUCCACAACUCAUCACACUCAAUCAAAGAUCCAAAUCAAACAAGUAUCAUAAGAACAAACAUUCAAGUUCAUAGAUAUCUAAAAAAAAUUAGUUUUGUUUUUGUUCCUAAGAUUAGGUCUCCUAUUCCUAAAGGUCACUUUAGGCACAGGAUUUCAAAGUGUGAAAUCCACAUUUGUCUUUAGAAGGAAAAAGGUAAGAAUAAUCAGAGUAAAGCAGAAAUAGAUGAGAAAAGAUUAAGAAAAGUUUAGAAAGAAUCAGAGUAGCCAAGGUAAGUAAGUAUUGGUUGUCCAGUUCUAUCUAGGUUUCGUCCUACAGUCAACAUUCCUCUGAUACCACUUCUGUCACACCCGGGUUUUAGGGGUCCAAAGCACGGGCGCGAACAUAAUCACCAGGUGUGCUGGGACCAAGUCUCACACAUAUGAUGAAUCAUGGCACAGGAUCGAAUGUCACAUCUUUACUAUAUAAUAAGAGUUCUAUACAAAAUAAAUAAUUACAUUAUAAGGAGACAAAGGUCCAGCAACCCAAAGUUGACUGGGAGACGACGGCCUAGACCACUCACGAACUCAUCACAGCAUCCUCCAAGCGCCUCAUCCUGCGGUACCUGUUCUUGACCUGUGGGGGUGUGAGACAGCAAGAGUGAGCUCACAUACGUUCAUCGCUCAGCAAGUUGUGGGGAAUAAUGUGUAUGAACUCGCCAAAGGUGGGAGCUCAUGUGAAGUGUAAGGCUUACCAAAGAGGAUGGCUGAAGCUGAGCAUUGCUUUUAAAGUUGGUCAAAAUUUUAUUAGCCAUUACUAAGUAUAAGUAAAUACCCACCCAAUUAAAUAGUAGAACAGAAGUAACAACAUCACCUGCGAUGCAAUGCAUAUGACAAAUUGAAUUUAAGUUCCAUAGAUUAAUCAUGUGAGGGUCCGAGCUGCUCAUGACCGUGAGCACGGCUAGUAUACCAGUUUUACACUCUGCAGAGGUGGCGCAUCUUUACCCACAAGUCAUGUUACCCAUCUGCCAAGGGAUCGCGACUUCCCGUACACCUCUACCGAGGAGGCGAGGCAGGGUAACACUACGAGGCCUUUACAAAGUUCCACUAGCUUCAGAAAACCCGCUACAGUUUAUAGGAAGCUCCAAUGCAGGAAUCCCUUGCAGGACCGCCAUCACAGCAAAAUCCUCCCGAGGGCCUCCCCAGGAAUCCCUUGCAGGACCGCCAUCACAGCAAAAUCCUCCCGAGGGCCUCCCUAGGAAUCCCUUGCAGGACCGCCAUCACAGCAAAAUCCUCCCGAGGGCCUCCCUACACUGACCACUCCCCUACUGCCCUUGCCCCUUUCGGGUAAGGUAGUCCUCCACUAGCUUUCCUAAUUAAUCAGCCAAGGGCGUCCCAUUAUACCCUUGUGGUAGCACUGUUUUCCCGGGUGGUCGCUCCAUGUUCCAAUUAACAUAAUGAUCUUAUCAUGAACGAUAAAUAACAACGGAUAACAAAAGUAUAAUCAUGAGUAAUGUAUCUUCAUACCUAAAACCACAUAAAGCACUAGCAAGUACUACCCAAAAAGUUCAGUGGUAACAAGGUAUAAAGAUAAUCAAACUAGGGUAACCUAUUGGGUCCCAUCAAAAUUAACCUAUGCAGAUCAUUAUGAUUAAUUAGAACAUGGCUGGGUAAAAAGAAGUGAUCAAGGGCACAACUUGCCUGAGACUUGAGAUUCCAGGUACCAGGAUGAUCUUCAGGUGACUCGUGUCCUCACGCUAGUCGUAGCAUUACAAACAAACAGUGUAUAGGCAAAAUUAACAUUACACCAAACAUAUAUGCAAAUUACAUAUUAAUAAUCUACAUGAUGAAAUAUGAUCACAGGAACAAGAAUUAUUAAUUUUGGAGUUAUAGGUUUUAAGUUAUGAAUUUCCAAAGAUUAUAUGUGCUUAUUACAAGAUUAGUUAAGAUAACAAUUUUAAUGUGACUUUUAUGUAAAACCAGUGGCACUAAAUGAUAAACAAUAAUAUUACAAAAUUAUAGGAACUGGAAUGGACUAAAAAGGAGUUAGUAUGAAUUUACUAUGAAUUAAACAAGUUUUAACAUUUAUUUAUGCACUAAAAAUUAAUUUCUGAUAUUAAUUUCUGAUUUUCAAAGUUCUCUGGAUCGGGCCUCAAUUACAAGCAACUCCAGGGGGUCUCGGGUAAGAAUUCUACAGACUCAGGCUACUAUUCACUGGAUUGCGGGUUGAUUAGUGAAUUCCUCGAGGACUCUUUAGCAAAACUACCAGCGCGAAAGGGGUACGCGUUAAACCUGGCCGUUGGAUCACGCGUAGACGGUGCCGAUUAGAUCAUUCCACCGAGCGAAACGGUACUCAAUCCGCACCGCACGAUAGAACAUCUACGUCUCAGAUUUAAAUAUCCCGUAUUGAUUUGCUACCGACCGAUCAGGAUCGGACGGUCAUGGGUGAAUAUGGCCGAAUCAGUAUCAGGAUCUAAUCCUACCCGCUCAUCUAGAUCGGACGGUCAGGAGUCGUCCGCCCCCCCUCCUCUAACGCGACGGCGGCGCCGCCCAUAAUCCGCGGCGAACCUCGCCAGCGAGAUCCAAAUCCAGUGCUCCAAUGCCCUAAACUCUAUUCCGACAGGUGCUACGUGUAAAGGAGAUCAAGGCGAACUCGGAGGAGGACUUCAUACCAGGAAUCAGGUCGGGGAGUACACCCGUCCACGGCACAGUGCGGUACGCGGCGAUGAAGGAGCUCCGGCGAGGAAUUCAGUGCACCCGAGACGACCCCGAUCGCUGGCGAUCCCCGUGUAAGCUCCCAAGGUCCCUUGGUGACGACACACGGGCACCCACUGAGGCUAAGUCGGCGGCGAAUCGAAGUUGGCCCGCGGCGGCGCUCCGUCCUAUCGACGAUGGUGAGCUGCGAGAGGGUGUGGCGGCGGCGCACGCGAAAUUGAGGAGGAGGGAGGAGAGAGGCUGUGGCCGGCUUCUUAUGGAGGCGCAGAACGGCAGAUAGCCAACUGAGGCCGGGAGAUCCGAGGGGAGGUGGUUCCGGUCACGGCGGCGAAGUCCUCGCGGUUCGGUUGAAGAUGCCUGACGACCGAACCCCACGCGACAGUCAGUCAAGCCACGCGCGAGGAGGUCUGGUGCGCGGGCCCGCAGAGUCAGCGAGACACGGGAGAGCAACGCGCGCCAGAGGCUGAUCCAGGGACCCCACCUGUCGGCACGCGGUAAGAGGAUAGUUGGGCCGCGCGGGAGAGAAAGGCUAGGUGGGCCGAAUUCCAGGUUGGCGGCCCGAUUAGGGUUUUAGUCUUUUUCCAUUUUCUUUUAUUUUUCUUUUAUUUUCUCCUUUCUCCAUUCUUUCACAAAUUCAAAUUUAAAAUACCAAUUCAAUUCAAACUUGUAACUGGUUCAUUUUGGUGCAAUUAAAAGUAUUUGGUUUGAGAAUAUUUAUUCAAAUAUAUUACUCAUGUUUUCAUAUUACUUCUCUUUUCUUCCCUUCCCAUUUAUUUUCUUUUUAAUAUUACUAAUUUAAGUUUUAUUCUCCUUGUUAUUUAUUUCAUGGGAUGUAUAAAUGGUUUCCUUUAAAAGAAAAAAAAUCCUUUUCUCAUCAUUUUCUUAUUUUCCUAAUUUCCAAAGCAUUAUGAUACUUUGUUUAUAUUAUUUUUUUUUCCUACUAAUUUUGGGUCUUACACUAAUGACCUUUUGUGAUAACAGGUUUCCACCAUACAGUUGCUAAAAAGUAGGAAUAUAAAGAAUUCAAAACAAUAGAUCACCUUUUAAACCUCAAAUGACGUUUUUAUGAUAUUAUGGGCAUUGUAUUCACACUAGAGGGUAUUAGAGUAUAACUAGUGGAUGAAGACGUUAUUGGGCUAGCUAAUGACCUUUUGUGAUACCAGGUUUCCAAUAAUCCCCUCUAUUCAAGGCAUACCUAAAUGGUGUUUAUGUCCACUCAAGUAAAACAUCACACAUCAUUAUACCACAUCGUUUCUCAAAAUAAAAUAAAGACCAUGGGAAAUUUAGCCAAAUUGCACGAGAGAACUGUCCAAACAUAGGUUAAGGUUGUAAGACACCUUUUUCCACCAUACAGUUGCUAAAAAGUUGAAAUAUAAAGAAUUCAAAACAAUAGAUCACCUUUUAAACCUCAAAUGACGUUUCUAUGAUAUUGUGGGCAUUGUAUUCACACUAGUGGGUAUUAGAGUAUAACUAGUGGAUGAAGACGUUAUUGGGCUAGCUAAUGACCUUUUGUGAUACCAGGUUUCCAAUAAUCCCCUCUAUUCAAGGCAUACCUAAAUGGUGUUUAUGUCCACUCAAGUAAAACAUCGCACAUCAUUAUACCACAUCGUUUCUCAAAAUAAAAUAAAGACUAUGGAAAAUUUAGCCAAAUUGCGUGAGUGAACUGUCCAAACAUAGGUUAAGGUUGUAAGACAACUUUUUUCCACCAUACAGUUGCUAAAAAGUUGGAAUAUAAAGAAUUCAAAACAAUAGAUCACCUUUUAAACCUCAAAUGACGUUUCUAUGAUAUUGUGGACAUUGUAUUCACACUAGAGGGUAUUAGAGUACAACUAGUGGAUGAAGACGUUAUUGGGCUAGCUAAUGACCUUUUGUGAUACCUGGUUUCCAAUAAUCCCGUCUAUUCAUGGCAUCCUUAGAUGGUGUUUAUGUCCACUCAAGUAAAACACCACACAAAAAUAGUGUUUCUAUGAUAUUGACGGCAUUGUAUUCGCACGAGAGGGUAUUAGAGUACAACUAGUGGAUGAAGACAUUAGUGGGCUAGCUAAUGACCUUUUGUGAUAAUAUGUUAACUAUAAUCACGUCUAUUCAUGACAUCCUUAGAUUGUGUUUAUGUCGACUCUAGUAAAACACCACACAUCAAUAUACCACAUCGUUUCUCAAAAUAAAAUAAAGACUAUGGAAAAUUUAGCCAAAUUGCAUGAGUGAACUGUCCAAACAUAGGUUAAGGUUGUAAGACAACUUUUUUCCACCAUACAGUUGCUAAAAAGUUGGAAUAUAAAGAAUUCAAAACAAUAGAUCACCUUUUAAACCUCAAAUGAUGUUUCUAUGAUAUUGUGGGCAUUGUGUUCACACUAGAGGGUAUUAGAGUACAACUAGUGGAUGAAGACGUUAUUGGGCUAGCUAAUGACCUU